UCAGGUGCCUACAGCGGCGGUGUCCACCUCUUCCCAUCCCGAACAGAGAAGUUAAGCCCGCCUGCGCCGAUGGUACUGCGGUAACACGUGGGAGAGUAGGUCGGUGCCGGAUAUUAUUGAAGAAAGGCUGUUGCUGCAAAGGCAACAGCCUUUUCUUGUUUAUAGCGCCCUAUAGCCCGCCGCUGCCAGG
rnacentral:rRNA from 1 species